GUGCGUAACGCGUAUACAAUCUGCCUUUCACAUAGGGAUAGCCCGAAGAAAUUUGGAUUAAUACCUAAUGGUAUAUAAGAGCGGCAUCGUUUUUAUAUUAAAGCUACGGUGGUGAAAGAUGAGUAUGCGUUCUAUUAGCUAGUUGGAGAGGUAACGGCUCCCCAAGGCGACGAUAGAUAGGGGUUCUGAGAGGGAUGUCCCCCACACUGGUACUGAGAUACGGACCAGACUCCUACGGGAGGCAGCAGUGAGGAAUAUUGGACAAUGGUCSGAAGACUGAUCCAGCCAUGCCGCGUGCAGGAUGAAGGUCCUAUGGAUUGUAAACUGCU
rnacentral:rRNA from 1 species